AAUUAAUUAGCUUAGUGAUUAAGCACUUACCUUGAAAGCAAGCUACAAGAGUUUAAUUCUCUUAUUAAUUU
rnacentral:tRNA from 1 species